UACGGAGGGAGCUAGCGUUGUUCGGAAUUACUGGGCGUAAAGCGCGCGUAGGCGGCUUUUGUAAGUUAGAGGUGAAAGCCCGGAGCUCAACUCCGGAACUGCCUUUUAAGACUGCAUCGCUUGAAUCCAGGAGAGGUGAGUGGAAUUCCGAGUGUAGAGGUGAAAUUCGUAGAUAUUCGGAAGAACACCAGUGGCGAAGGCGGCUCACUGGACUGGUAUUGACGCUGAGGUGCGAAAGCGUGGGGAGCAAACAGGAUUA
rnacentral:rRNA from 1 species